AGGGGCAGCAUGGUCUUAGCUUGCUAAGACUGAUGGCGACCGGCGCACGGGUGAGUAACGCGUAUCCAACCUUCCGUACACUCAGGGAUAGCCUUUCGAAAGAAAGAUUAAUACCCGAUGGCAUAGUUCUUCCGCAUGGUGGAACUAUUAAAGAAUUUCGGUCAUCGAUGGGGAUGCGUUCCAUUAGAUAGUAGGCGGGGUAACGGCCCACCUAGUCUUCGAUGGAUAGGGGUUCUGAGAGGAAGGUCCCCACAUUGGAACUGAGACACGGUCCAAACUCC
rnacentral:rRNA from 1 species